CAGACUACACGUGCGCGGCGCGGUAAUUUUAAGCUGACGUUCUAGACGAGUCGCUUGUUGGGAAUGUAAUCAUGACCCGGUCCCUGCAGCAAUACGGGACUUCUGGAUGAUAUGGGGUCACGAACUUGUCAAGCCUUUCAUCUUCCCAGUUGCCAGGGUGAUCUGGGAUUGCGAGGAUCAGGAUGAUGGCACUACCAGACCGUUGAGCUGGAGGGCGCUGUUUAAACCACCAGUAAUGACGAGUGACGAGGGGGUUGGUGAGGCCAAACACAAGGGAGUUAUGAAGGGGAUAAUCCAAGGUGUCGUCCAGAGACUGAGAGGCCAGAUUCAAGAUGCAAGCUGCCAAAGUGCUUGUCCAGGGUGUGAAGCAACACAUCAGCAUUGACAGAAGCGACAGACACACUUUUUAAAUUGUGACCUAUGACGAGGAAGGUAUGCGUAAUCAAAUAACGUAUAACAUUUUGAUAUUUUGUCUGGUAGCCUUGUGUUAUUUCUCGAGCAAACCUGUUUCUGUGCUACUAAGCAAAACUCUGUGUUUAUUGUUUAGCUUUUUAUGAAGUUGGCCCCUGAAAGUGAAUGUUUUGCUAAUAAUUUAAAAGACCCUAAGACAGUAUAAUGCAACAUCAGACUGGGACCCUGAAUGCAGAAAAACAUACAUAACAAAAAUCUGACCCACUUUGCUCCCUCUUUCGCUGACAAAAUUCUCCAAAUGUUUAUUGAGGCAAAAAGGGGAAUAUUAAAAGGUAAACUGUGAUGGACUACAAACAAAAGUACACAAUCCUUUAAUUCUCAAUUUUGUUUUGAAUAAAUGAGUCUUUAUGUACAGCAUGUCUCAAAAU
rnacentral:misc_RNA from 1 species